rnacentral:rRNA from 1 species
UCCUACGGGACGCAGCAGUGGGGAAUAUUGCGCAAUGGGGGCAACCCUGACGCAGCAACGCCGCGUGAUCGAAGAAGGCCUUCGGGUUGUAAAGAUCUUUAAUCGGGGACGAAUUUUGACGGUACCCGAAGAAUAAGCUCCGGCUAACUACGUGCCAGCAGCCGCGGUAAUACGUAGGGAGCAAGCGUUAUCCGGAUUUACUGGGUGUAAAGGGAGCGUAGACGGUACGCCAAGUCUGAAGUGAAAUGCCGCAGCUUAACUGCGGAACUGCUUUGGAAACUGGCGGGCUAGAGUGCGGGAGGGGG